GACGAACGCUGGCGGCGUGCUUAACACAUGCAAGUCGAACGGUAAGGCCCUUCGGGGUACACGAGUGGCGAACGGGUGAGUAACACGUGGGUGAUCUGCCCUGCACUUCGGGAUAAGCCUGGGAAACUGGGUCUAAUACCGGAUAGGACCACUGCCUGCAUGGGUGGUGGUGGAAAGCUUUUGCGGUGUGGGAUGGGCCCGCGGCCUAUCAGCUUGUUGGUGGGGUGAUGGCCUACCAAGGCGACGACGGGUAGCCGGCCUGAGAGGGUGACCGGCCACACUGGGACUGAGGUACGGCCCAGACUCCUACGGGAGGCAGCAGUGGGGAAUAUUGCACGAUGGGCGCAAGCCUGAUGCAGCGACGCCGCGUGAGGGAUGACGGCCUUCGGGUUGUAAACCUCUUUCAGCACCGACGAAGCGCAAGUGACGGUAGGUGCAGAAGAAGGACCGGCCAACUACGUGCCAGCCGCCGCAGUAA
rnacentral:rRNA from 1 species